CAAAAUAUAGUUUAAAUUUAAAAUUUUAAUUUUGGGAAUUAAAGAUAUUUUAAUAAAUAAAUUAUUUUGA
rnacentral:tRNA from 1 species